rfam:Gorilla gorilla gorilla genomic chromosome, chr11, whole genome shotgun sequence
GGGAAAUGAACAAAGGGGCCAGCCUCAGGCCCCACAACAAACUGGGGCA